UGUCCUUGCCUCGCGACGAAAUCGAGGUUCUCGUGGCCUUCCACGCCUUUCCUCCCUUGCUGCUGCUCCUACCGUCAUCCUUCGUCGCGUCGACGGCGACUCGCCUCCCAACUCCCAUCCACGCCAUCCGCCACUUCCCAGUUCCCGCAGCCACCACCGCUCUCCUCUGCUUCUAAAUCCAAGCGUCGCUCCCUUCCUCCCUCCGUGGUGUUGCGCUCCCUAAUCCUCCAAGCAUAUUCUUCCUCACUGCCGGCGUUGUCGCCACCUGAUCUGCCACUCCGGCCACGACUCGGCAGGCCUCAACUUCCUCACGCUGCCCUCACCAACAGCCACGACCAGGAAGCGCUACUGCCCCACCAUCUCCCCACCAGCCCCACCGAGCGUGCAUCGGAAGCUGAAGGCAACGGAGAAGACUGUUCUCAUGCGUGAGGAGUGGGGAGGAGAAGACUAAAGAGCAGCAGCGAAGUUCUGCACGGGGCGUCGAGCGCUGGCCCUCUACUAUUGCCCAGACACACGCGCUGCCGGUCGCCGGCCUCAUCUUCCACCUCUACCUCUUGUGGCAAAACAGAGCAACUGAACCACGCAACCAGGGCAUCUUCAGCUGCUGCAGUCUCUCCCUCCAGGCCUCCACCAAAUCCGUGUCUGCCUUUCGAAAAAAAAAAUCCGUGUGUGCCUUUCGAAAAAAAAUCCGUGUCUGCCUACUGCUCAAGAUCAAAACAGAAAUCUAAUCCAUUUAUGUAUGCACAGCUCCUGUUUCACGUUCUCCGAAUUAAUUUCAUGGUUUGGUCUCAAUUUUUCUUUCUGCAUUUACCUACGUUGAUAUGUGUUGUUAUGAUCAAUUUUGAAGUGAGUUUGUUGUGAGUACAGCUUACAGUGCCUUACAUUGAACCAUUACAUAGUCAAACAAAAUUAUUAGAUUUGUAGGGCAGAGAUCCAGUAGAUUUGUAUAAUCAGAGGCUGCAGAGUGUGUGCAUAUAGACCUUAAUUUUUGCUGCGUGUAACAAAAGCCCUUUCAAGGGACAAAGAAUGGAAUGCAAUCUUAUUCAGAAGUACAAAUGGUCUUCUGAUAAUAUAUGUUAGUUCUGAAAUGGUGUUUCCAUAUCGAAUCAUAGCCACAACAAUACUCGAAAUGUUUCCCAUUUUCUUUACAUGCUUUUGGUUUUCUGGUAUGUUGUUUGAUACUCUACAUUUGGUACAGACACUACUGGAGGCUAAAGAACAUGAUGGACAUGGUUCAAAAAUGGAAUAUAAGUUAUUAGUUGCUGGGUAACAUUACCACAAGAUCUUUUAUUUGCGUAAGGGUUAUAAUUUUUGCUUACAAAAGUUUUAUUUCAGUACAUUUCAUAUGCUCUACCUAAGGGACAAAUUUGAUUGUGCAGCACAAAAGAUUGUCUUUUUGGUUUUGACAUGUUACCUGGCUUGCUCCAGGUGCUUCGAGAAGCAAAUGCAGACUAUUGUUGAAGAAAAAAAAAGAGGCUUUAGUAAUGAUCAGCAGCACCUGUGGUCAAGAUGAAAUUUAUCAUUUGGAUUUUUAUCUACCUAUCAAUCUAGCCCACAGUGAAAUAUUUCCAUGGUUGUAUGUGACAAGUUAUUCAGUAGAUAUGCUCCCUGGCCAUUUGAUUGCAAGGUUAGCUUGUGCGAAAAAGGAAAGAACAAGAAUGUAGGAAGAGCAAAAAUUUUAUGUAUUUUUUUAACUAUGAUUAGCGACAAGUUUAGCUUAUAUAAGGAAGGUUUUUGGAGCUUAGGCCACUUGAAUUUACAGGCCUACUCAUAAAUGUUGUGUUAUCUGGCUAUUACCAUUAUAGGACAUUUUUGUGUUAUUUGGUAUAAUAAGUUGCUCGUUCCUUGAUCUUCAUGUUUACUUUGCCUGAUGUUGGGAUGAUGCAAGGAUAUGAGUUUAAGUCCUUAGGAUAAUGUACACGAAUGUGCCAUAGCGACAGCAGUAUAUCACCACUUUUGGGAUUGUGAAGUAAUUUUCCUAAUGUUUUGCAGUUUUCAAAGCUAUACCUGGGAGGUGGAUAUGUGAUUGUGACACAGGAGUGUGCAUUGUUCUACGAUAAUUGGUUCUUACUAUUUUCUAAGCUGCUGGUGGUUGUAAUUUGAUUACCGACUUGAUCAUGAUGCAAGCAGAAAAUUGCUCCAACAAUUAUGAAAUUAUUUUGCAGGUUUCUGUCCACUAUAAGAUUUCUAAUUCCUAGCUUUCACGUUCAUUGCAACAAAAGUUUGAUCUGCCACAAGGUUAUAAUGGUUGUCAAUUUCAUAGACAGACCAAAGACUACAUGAUACAGGAUGGUGACUUGAAGCAAUUCGAAGCAUAUUGUCCAUUCAAAUCAAGAAGAGGGAAAGGAGUUGGAAGACAUGUUACCCUUUUUUGGCAGACUUUCUAAGAGAGAUUCCACUUUCCGUGGGAUUACAUAAGUGAUUACCUGUGUAAAUCUAUGUCAAGUAUGGCCCCAUUGAUUUAAACAUGCAUCAAUACUACUAAUUCCUCCAUACCAAGCAAAUUGUGCAGAGAACACCUAUUGGCGUUGGCAGUAUGGACAGGUCGGUUUUACCUGCUUAUUUUGAAUUUUGUUUGCCAUCAGGACUUCCAUGAGACCCAAUGAUGCUCCUGUCUACACUCCUGCCAAUCUAUCAAAUGAUGUGGUGGUUGCUGGUUGUAGUUUGGAUUUGGAAGUGGUUGCUGGUUGUAGUUUGGGAUUGGAGGUGGUUGCUGUCUGUCUAUGGUCUCUGAAGAAUUGUUGUUGUGCAGUGAUAUUGGUUUGGCGGUGGUAUUGUCUCUUGUUGUUUUGAGGUUGUUGUUGUUGUUUGAAAGGGUAAAUUGUAUGGGUUAUAUUGGCUUGAGAACUUGGCUGUUGUUUUGAAAAAGGCUCUUCAAACUCAUGAAUAUUCCAAGGAUGAGCAACCCAGUCCUGCUCAUAAUCAUAGUACUGUUCAUCAUCAUAUUCUUCCAUCCUCUCUUCUUGACCCUCAUUAGCAACAUAUUGUUGUUGGUACUGAUCUUGGCCAGGAUGGAUUCCCUUAGCUCUAGCACUAGGUAGUGUUCUAUAAAUUUACUUGUUGUGUAACUGAGCAUCAUCUCUAAAGUGCAGAGCUUUUUGUACAUUGCUAGUGUGUAGGUGGGGUACAUAGUAAUUCAUGGAUUGUUGUUGCA